rnacentral:rRNA from 1 species
UACGGAGGGAGCUAGCGUUGUUCGGAAUUACUGGGCGUAAAGGGCGCGUAGGCGGCCUUCUAAGUCGAACGUGAAAUCCCCGGGCUCAACCCGGGAACUGCGUCCGAGACUGCAUUGCUAGAGUAUGGGAGAGGAAAGCGGAAUUUCUGGUGUAGCAGUGAAAUGCGUAGAUAUCAGAAGGAACAUCAGUGGCGAAGGCGGCUUUCUGGACCAAUACUGACGAUCAGGUGCGAAAGCGUGGGGAGCAAACAGG